rnacentral:rRNA from 1 species
UACGUAGGGUGCGAGCGUUGUCCGGAAUUAUUGGGCGUAAAGGGUGCGUAGGCGGGUCUUUAAGUCAGGGGGGAAAUCCUGGAGCUCAACUCCAGAACUGCCUUUGAUACUGAGGAGCUUGAGUCCGGGAGAGGUGAGUGGAACUGCGAGUGUAGAGGUGAAAUUCGUAGAUAUUCGCAAGAACACCAGUGGCGAAGGCGGCUCACUGGCCCGGUACUGACGCUGAGGUGCGAAAGCGUGGGGAGCAAACAGG